UACAGAGGUGGCAAGCGUUGUUCGGAAUUACUGGGCGUAAAGGGCGCGUAGGCGGUCCGAUAAGUCCCGUGUGAAAGCCCCCGGCUCAACUGGGGAACUGCACGGGAAACUGACGGACUUGAGUUCGGGAGAGGGAAGCGGAAUUCCGGGUGUAGCGGUGAAAUGCGUAGAUAUCCGGAGGAACACCGGUGGCGAAGGCGGCUUCCUGGACCGACACUGACGCUGAGGCGCGAAAGCUAGGGUAGCAAACGGG
rnacentral:rRNA from 1 species